ACAGGGAUUGCUCUAGUAACGGCGAGUGAAGCAGCAAUAGCUCAAAUUUGAAAUCUGGCGUCUUCGACGUCCGAGUUGUAAUUUGUAGAGGAUGCUUCUGAGUAACCACCGACCUAAGUUCCUUGGAACAGGACGUCAUAGAGGGUGAGAAUCCCGUAUGCGGUCGGAAAGGUGCUCUAUACGUAGCUCCUUCGACGAGUCGAGUUGUUUGGGAAUGCAGCUCUAAAUGGGAGGUAAAUUUCUUCUAAAGCUAAAUAUUGGCCAGAGACCGAUAGCGCACAAGUAGAGUGAUCGAAAGAUGAAAAGCACUUUGGAAAGAGAGUUAAAAAGCACGUGAAAUUGUUAAAAGGGAAGGGAUUGCAACCAGACUUGCUCGCGGUGUUCCGCCGGUCUUCUGACCGGUCUACUCGCCGCGUUGCAGGCCAGCAUCGUCUGGUGCCGCUGGAUAAGACUUGAGGAAUGUAGCUCCCUCGGGAGUGUUAUAGCCUCUUGUGAUGCAGCGAGCGCCGGGCGAGGUCCGCGCUUCGGCUAGGAUGCUGGCGUAAUGGUCGUAAUCCGCCCGUCUUGAAACACGGACCAAGGAGUCUAACAUCUAUGCGAGUGUUCGGGUGUCAAACCCCUACGCGUAAUGAAAGUGAACGGAGGUGAGAACCGCAAGGUGCAUCAUCGACCGAUCCUGAUGUCUUCGGAUGGAUUUGAGUAAGAGCAUAGCUGUUGGGACCCGAAAGAUGGUGAACUAUGCCUGAAUAGGGUGAAGCCAGAGGAAACUCUGGUGGAGGCUCGCAGCGGUUCUGACGUGCAAAUCGAUCGUCAAAUUUGGGUAUAGGGGCGAAAGACUAAUCGA
rnacentral:rRNA from 1 species